rnacentral:rRNA from 1 species
UUGAAGCAACUGCGAAGAACCUUUACCAGGUCUUGACAUCCUCUGACAAUCCUAGAGAUAGGACGUCCCCUUCGGGGGCAGAGUGACAGGUGGUGCAUGGUUGUCGUCAGCUCGUGUCGUGAGAUGUUGGGUUAAGUCCCGCAACGAGCGCAACCCUUGAUCUUAGUUGCCAGCAUUCAGUUGGGCACUCUAAGGUGACUGCCGGUGACAAACCGGAGGAAGGUGGGGAUGACGUCAAAUCAUCAUGCCCCUUAUGACCUGGGCUACACACGUGCUACAAUGGACAGAACAAAGGGCAGCGAAACCGCGAGGUUAAGCCAAUCCCACAAAUCUGUUCUCAGUUCGGAUCGCAGUCUGCAACUCGACUGCGUGAAGCUGGAAUCGCUAGUAAUCGCGGAUCAGCAUGCCGCGGUGAAUACGUUCCCGGGCCUUGUACACACCGCCCGUCACACCACGAGAGUUUGUAACACCCGAAGUCGGUGAGGUAACCUUUUAGGAGCCAGCCGCCGAAGGUGGGACAGAUGAUUGGGGUGAAGUCGAACAAGAGCGAUGGUCGAUCAAAGAUUAU